rnacentral:rRNA from 1 species
GACGAACGCUGGCGGCGUGGAUUAGGCAUGCAAGUCGAACGGUAUCAUCCUUUCGGGGGUGAGAGAGUGGCGAACUGGUGAGUAACACGUAGGUUAUCUACCCUCAAGACGGGGACAACCCAGGGAAACUUGGGCUAAUACCGGAUGUGAGCAACUUUUAGUUGUUUGAAAGGUGGCGUAAGCUGUCGCUUGGGGAUGAGCCUGCGUCCUAUUAGUUAGUUGGUGAGGUAACGGCUCACCUAGGCAAUGAUAGGUAGGCGGCCUUAACGGGUGGUCGCCCACACUGGGAUUGAGAUACGGCCCAGACUCCUACGGGAGGCAGCAGUCGAGAAUAGUCUACAAUGGUCGGAAGACUGAUAGUGCGACGCCGCGUGAACGAUGAAUCCCUUCGGGGUGUAAAGUUCUUUUAUAUGUGAGCAGUGCUUCUUAUAUUAACAGUAUGGGAGAGAGAUAUUAGCAUAUGAAUAAGCAACGGCUAAACUCCGUGCCAGCAGCCGCGGUAAAAUA